rnacentral:lncRNA from 1 species
AUUAUAUGCUAGCUUGAAAAAUGGGUGUCUGAUUAUUUCUGGCUGGGCACUCUCCUGACAUCAUCUAAUGUUUUGCUUUCGUUGUAAAGCCUUUUUGAAAUCGGACAGUGUGGUUAGAUAAACGAGAGUCUUGUCUUUAAAUAGCUGUAAAAUAGUCAUAUGUUUGAGAAAUUGAAGUAAUAGUAUUUCAAACGAUUCAAAAAUCGCGCCACUGGAUUAGACUGGCUGUUACGUAGGUGGGACGAAUUCGUCCCGCCUAGCCCAUAGAGGUUAAUGCAUUUUCUUAGGUUGACCCCCUGAACCAUCCAUAGUUCAUAUUCAAGUCCUGGCAGCCAAUGUGCUAGUUUGAAAACCACUUUACUAGCCAUCUACUUCACUGAAUGAUGGAGAAUGCUAGUAAGGGCUUUUAAAUGGCAAAUUCAAUUUCAAAUCACUCCCAGAUGGCUCUCUGGAUAAAACCUAAGUAAUUUGCAUCUACUGCAAGGCUGAAUUUGUUUAUCAGCGAAGUACAUCAAGUCUUUGUUAUCAUUUACAAGCGAGACAUACUGUUGAUGCCGGCAAUACAAGUAGCGUUACUAGUAGCAAUGGAGGACAUCUUCGGCAGGCUAAGCUAGAAGAGUGUACGCAGGAGGCCUAUGGACAAGUCGACAAGCAGCAAGCUAACACAAGCAAUAGCCAAGUGGAAAGCUACAGCUUGCAGGCCAGUCCACAUUAUGGAGGAUGAAGGCUUGAGGGAUAUCAUCGAACGACUCAACAUAUGAGUUACCCUCGAGAGCCACAAGAAUACACAAGCUGUAUGAAAGCUAGAGGGCUACGAAAGCAGAGGAGAUGAAACAUGCAACGGCUGUUGCUCUCAUGGUAGACCACUGGACUUCAGUCAGUAAACACAACUACCUUGGUUACUGCGCACUACAUCGAUGAAAACUGGAAACUGCAUUCACACGCUCUGGCUGGGCAUUUCAUGGAUCUAGCAAAGCUGUGGAACAUUGAAAACAAAGUUACCACAGUUUGCAGACAGUGCACGGAACAUGAUUGCAGCUGCGAGACAUCUGCCUUUUUUGAACACCUGUAGGUACUUGACUGAACUUCUGGGAGGUUGAAAAGUACAUUUCCUGCUUUAUCAUCUGAAAGAGAAGCUUUAUCAUCUGAAAACGUCAACAGGCUUGUUUGUCUUUGCAACUGUCUCAGUGAAAAUAAAUAGGAGGACGACUGAAGUGUAUGGUCACAGGUUUAUGUUCUGUGUAAUUCAUGACAUUGGACAGGUUUAUGCUCUUUGUAUCCAUAAAGACAGUUAUUUUUUUCUUAUAACCAACCCUCCAAUCAGUAAUUGGGAGAAAAAUAAUUUGGAAUGUCUGAAGCUUUAAGUAUGUGUGUCUGUGUGUGUGUGUUAACUUGUUUAUGGUGAAAAUGCCAUUAAACAUUCAUUCUGAUACAGAAUGUUUGUGUAUUUCAGUCCCAACAUGCCUUUAACUUAAUCCACAGCUUUUUUUUAUUUAUUUUUAAAUGGAA